rnacentral:rRNA from 1 species
AGAGUUUGAUCCUGGCUCAGAACGAACGUUAGCGGCGCGCCUAAGACAUGCAAGUCGAGCGAGAAAGGGCUUCGGCCCCGGUAAAGCGGCGCACGGGUGAGUAACACGUAGGUAAUCAACCCUCGAGUGGUGGACAACUCUCCGAAAGGAGAGCUAAUACAGCAUGACGGUGCGACCUUCCGAGGUCGUUUCCAAAGCGGGCCUCUUCAUGAAAGCUCGCGCUCGGGGAUGAGCCUGCGGCCCAUCAGCUAGUUGGUCGGGGUAAUGGCCCACCAAGGCUAAGACGGGUAGCUGGUCUGAGAGGAUGAACAGCCACACUGGAACUGAGACACGGUCCAGACUCCUACGGGAGGCAGCAGUCGGGAAUCUUCCGCAAUGGGCGCAAGCCUGACGGAGCGACGCCGCGUGAGCGAUGAAGGCCUUCGGGUUGUAAAGCUCUGUGGGGAGGGAAGAAUAAGUUCAGGCAAAUACCCUGAAUGAUGACGGUACCUCCUUAGCAAGCACCGGCUAACUCUGUGCCAGCAGCCGCGGUAAGACAGAGGGUGCAAACGUUGUUCGGAUUUACUGGGCGUAAAGCGCGUGUAGGCGGCUUUGCAAGUCGGAUGUGAAAGCCCACGGCUCAACCGUGGAAGUGCAUCCGAAACUGCAUGGCUUGAGUCUCGGAGAGGAAGGUGGAAUGCUUGGUGUAGAGGUGAAAUUCGUAGAUAUC